rnacentral:ncRNA from 1 species
AAAUUGAAGAGUUUGAUCAUGGCUCAGAUUGAACGCUGGCGGCAGGCCUAACACAUGCAAGUCGAGCGGAAACGGCAGUAUUGAAGCUUCGGUGGAUUUACUGGACGUCGAGCGGCGGACGGGUGAGUAACGGCUGGGAACCUGCCCUGGCGAGGGGGAUAACCGUUGGAAACGACGGCUAAUACCGCAUAAUGUCUACGGACCAAAGGUGGCCUCUACAUGUAAGCUAUCGCGUUGGGAUGGGCCCAGUUAGGAUUAGCUAGUUGGUAAGGUAAUGGCUUACCAAGGCGACGAUCCUUAGCUGGUUUGAGAGGAUGAUCAGCCACACUGGGACUGAGACACGGCCCAGACUCCUACGGGAGGCAGCAGUGGGGAAUAUUGCACAAUGGGGGAGACCCUGAUGCAGCCAUGCCGCGUGUGUGAAGAAGGCCUUCGGGUUGUAAAGCACUUUCAGCAGUGAGGAAGGUGGUGUACUUAAUAAGUGCAUGACUUGACGUUAGCUGCAGAAGAAGCACCGGCUAACUCCGUGCCAGCAGCCGCGGUAAUACGGAGGGUGCGAGCGUUAAUCGGAAUUACUGGGCGUAAAGCGCAUGCAGGCGGUUUGUUAAGUCAGAUGUGAAAGCCCGGGGCUCAACCUCGGAACCGCAUUUGAAACUGGCAGGCUAGAGUCUUGUAGAGGGGGGUAGAAUUUCAGGUGUAGCGGUGAAAUGCGUAG